rnacentral:rRNA from 1 species
GACGAACGCUGGCGGCGUGCUUAACACAUGCAAGUCGAACGGAAAGGCCCUGCUUUUGUGGGGUGCUCGAGUGGCGAACGGGGGUGUAACACGUGAGUAACCUGCCCUUUACUUUGGGAUAACUUCAGGAAACUGGGGCUAAUACCGGAUAUGAGCUCCGGCUGCAUGGUGGGGGUGGGAAAGUUUCGGCGGUUGGGGUUGGACUCGCGGCUUAUCAGCUUGUUGGUGGGGUAGUGGUUUACCAAGGCUUUGACGGGGAGACGGCGUGGGAGGGUGACCGGGCACAGUGGGACUGGGAUUGGGACCCGACUCCUACGGGAGGCAGCAGUAGGGGAGAUUACACAACGGGAGGGAGCCUGAUGCAGCAGCGGCGCGGGCGGGAUAAGGGUGUUGGGGUUGUAAACGGAUUUCGCCUGUAACGGAGAGUGAGUGGAGGUAAUGGGUAGAGAAGCACCGGCUAACUACGUG